UAUAUACGAAACUAAAUGUAAGCAUCACUAUCAUUCAUGGAUGAAAAUGGAAGAAGAACUCAAUGAUCUUUGAGAUAAAUCAACUGAGUAUGAACAGUGGAAUAGACAGCAGAAUGAACUUUAAAAUGUUUUUAAUUUGUUUAAAUAAAUGAUUUAUGGUUUGAUUCUUGAA